rnacentral:tRNA from 1 species
GGGCCUGUAGCUCAAUCGGUAGAGCAGCGGACUUUUAAUCCGAAGGUCGUGGGUUCGAUCCCCACCGGGCCCA